rnacentral:rRNA from 1 species
CCUACGGGUGGCAGCAGUGGGGAAUAUUGGGCAAUGGAGGAAACUCUGACCCAGCAAUGCCGCGUGAAUGAAGAAGGUCUUCGGAUUGUAAAGCUCUUUAGUCAGGGAAGAAUAAAAUGAUGGUACCUGAAGAAUAAGCUCCGGCUAACUACGUGCCAGCAGCCGCGGUAAUACGUGGGCAGCAAGGGUUGUUCGGAAUGAAUGGGCGUAAAGGGUGCGUAGGCGGUUAUACAAGUUAGAAGUGAAAUACCCAGGGCUUAACUCGGGUGCUGCUUCUGAGACUGUAAGACUUGAGUGCAGUAGAGGUUGGUGGAAUGCCUGGUGUAGCGGUGAAAUGCGUAGAUAUUA